rnacentral:lncRNA from 1 species
UGUGUGUGUGUGUGUCUUUGUGUUCCUCCCACCCUUAACCUAAUUACUCUUGUUCCCUUCCUAAUCUGUCCCCAAUCAGUUGCAUAACCUAUUCUACUUUUCCCUUCCCAGGAAGAGCCAGGCUUCGGGACUUGAGCCCUCAUUUUUAGUUAUCCUAUUUGAGUCUGUGGAUUGUAAUGUAAUUAUCCUUUACUUAACAGUUAAUGUUCACUUACAAGUGAGUACAUACCAUGUUUGUCUUUAUAGGUCUGGAUUAACUCAAUCAGAAUGCACCUGUUUAGUUCUAUAAAUUUGCCUGUAAAUUUCAUGACAAUAUUAUUUUAACAACUGAAUAAUACUCGGCUGUGUAAAUGUACCACAAAUUCUUUAUCCGUUCUUAGGGUGAGGGGUAUCUAGGUCAUUUCCAGAUUCUGACUAUUAUGAAACAGGAAGUGAAAUGACUGAACUUUAGCCAUCACUUGAGAUUUAAGUUCUGAGAUGAUUGAAACCCCCCUUCUCCUACAGAAAGGUGAAAUGUCUUUAUUUUUCUUCUGAAUAUAGUGUUUGCAAAGAGCUGCUGAUUUGCAUCAUAGCAUACACAUUGAUAACACUUUGAAAAUGAAUGCUAUAGUGGUUUCCUGUAUCUGUGUUCAUAAAGCACAAAACCAGAUUUUCUUGGAAUACUUAUUUAGGGUGAUCCAUUUUUUCGACAUACAUUUACAACAGUUCUUGUGUGUUGAAAACAGACACAAUAUAAGUAAAUAUAAAUAAAAUAUAAAAUACCUCAAAAUAAACCCCCUUGAGAAGUUUUGCCAUCAAUCAGCAAUUGGGAAUGAAUUCUUUAAAAGAAUUCCAAUGGUUAGUCAAUUGAAAUUCACUAGAACUGUUUAAAACAUAACAUUUGAACCAUGAAGAAUAUCUUAGGUUGGUUUGCUCUCAAGAACUCAGCUGUUUUGAUUUUCCAUUUUAUUAUUUCAAAUGGUGCAAAAAUUUCCUGUAUUUACAUUUUCUGCACCAUUUAUGUUUCUUUUCAAAUUACAGAAAUAUGUUAGAAAAAUAGCAAACUACUCUUUAAACUAUGUGGUCUGAAAAAAUUUAACCACUAACUGGAAGGCAGAGAGCUAUGAAUUAUAUAUUUUUUUCUUGUAUAAAAGCCAGAUUAUAAUAGGUCAAGGGUAUAGUUAGUGAAUUAAUGUACAAAACAUGUGGGGAUAUAGUUCUUGAUAAAUUUGAACACCCUCUCUAUCAGGAGAUCUUUGUUAGUUCAUGCUCUAUGCAAGCACUAGUCUAUAAAAGAUGAUGUUUUAGGUUUCUCAGCUCCAAUUUCAAUAAGGCCCACUUCAGUUUCAGGGAUUUAUGUAAAGGUUAAUUAAAGUGAUUUCUUAACCUCUCUAUGAUGAGUAUACAUUGCUGCGUUGUAAGCUCCUCCAUAAUAUGAUGUUACCACAGUAGUGAUUUCCUGAUAAAUGUCUAAUAAUUAAGUUUAAUGACCAAAAGAAAAUAUACAAAUACAUGUUUCUAAUAAAUUUUCUGGUUAUAAAAAUGCAGAUUAUAAUUAAAAGCUAUAUACGUAUGUAUGAACCUAUUUACUAAAGAAAUAAUUAAAUAUUAACCAUGAUAUAUUAAAUUUAUGUUAUUAAAAAUAAACUGAUUUUCAUUAAAUAUUAUUACUUUUUGAAAAAUUCUUAUUAAUUUUGACAAACAUUUACAAAAGAAAACUAUUUCAUUAUAGUAAUUAAUGGCACAAAUGUUUGGUUCUUUUAUUUAAUUAAAAAAAUACUGAGUUUUUCUUUAUUAGAUGUACCAUUUACAGUGUGAUGCCAUACGUGAGAACACACUUUGAAGUGUAAUCUACAUCAAUACUUUCUUCAUCACUGCUUUAAAAAUACAUGAAUUAAACAAGAUGUCAGCCCUAAAUUUUUAGCAUUUUCCAAUAGUCACAGUAGAGUAGAUUAUAAAUCCCCAAGGAGAUCUUAAUACAUAAAGAGUAUAGUAAGAGAAACUGCACAAUGUUUCUUCCAAAUACAGCCAGAAGAAACUGGUAAUAGCACAAGUGUGCAAAUAAUUAGAAGUUGUAAGUCUUAAUAUGCAUUACUUUAUUAUUUACAUAGCUAAUUUAAAAUUUUAUUUGUCUUUAAUUAUGGUUGUACAUGAAACUGACACAUAAAAUUCUUGGGAAUUGAAAUUGAGUUUGGGCUUCUGCAAAAGAAGUAAUUACUCACUAUUGAUAAUUAUCUCAUCACUUGCAAAGCACUCACUACACUAAGAACUGUCCCAGAGUGGUUCUUGAGUUUGGUGGCAUAAUAUUCACCUCAUGUGCAUCACUAUAGGUUCAGUGUACAGUUUGCUAAAAUGGCUUCGAUUUGCUGAAGUAUUGUUUAGUCAUUAUUUAUAAAUAACAGAAAAGAAUGACCUACUUUUAGCAAAUUUUGUGAUAUGAGCAACAUUCUAAUAUUCAACUUCUUACUUUAAAGAAGUGAUUCUGAAAUGAUGGGUGUAAAAUACCCAGUGGAGAGCUGUGCCACACCUUCUAACAAGAUAUGAACAUUGAACAUGAUUCCUGCAGGAAAUAAAUGUAUAUUUUCCUAACUUAAUCCAAAGCUUAGAGAAAUGAAAGUAAAACACUUCCCAUUGCUAUU